GUGUACUUAUCUCAAUGGUUAGAGAAUCACUCAUGAAUGCUAAGGUUAUCGGUUCAAGUCCCACAGUACACA
rfam:Puccinia sorghi strain RO10H11247 Scaffold_1079, whole genome shotgun sequence.